rnacentral:lncRNA from 1 species
CCUCCAUCGAUCUCUGAGGUGGUGGUUCUCGAUGACCCCGAUCUCAUCCACGUGAACUUCUUCUGGAUCCUAGUUGUGGCGAAUAAGCUCCGCCAUAGGCUCUUGUUGGAUGAGAGGAGGCAGAGCUCUCCGAUGAGAGGAAGGCAGAGCUCUCCGAUGAGAGGAAGGCAGAGCUCUCCGUGAGAGGAAGGCAGAGCUCUCGGCAGAGCUCUCCGAUGAGAGGAAGGCAGAGCUCUCCGACGAGAGGAAGACGAGAGGAAAUCCAAGUUGAAAUCGAAAAACACAUGAUUGAGGAAACAGAGGUUGUUAUGGGCACUAGGGUUUGAAGACUCUCAUCAAGAGAACCCUAAAAUCCA